rnacentral:rRNA from 1 species
UACGUAGGGCGCGAGCGUUGUCCGGAUUUAUUGGGCGUAAAGAGCUCGUAGGCGGCUUGUCGCGUCGUCCGUGAAAACUUGUGGCUUAACCACAGGCUGGCGGUCGAUACGGGCAGGCUGGAGUUCGGUAGGGGAGACUGGAAUUCCUGGUGUAGCGGUGAAAUGCGCAGAUAUCAGGAGGAACACCGAUAGCGAAGGCAGCUCGCUGGGACGGUACUGACGCUAAGGCGCGAAAGCGUGGGGAGCGAACAGG